ACUUUCCAAAAUCAUCAAUACAGCCCUCUCUCUAAAACUAGUCAAUUUCUCAAAAUCCAGAAAAUCCACAACCCAUACAAUCAACAAAUUCUAAAUUUCUAAUAACCAUGGCGUCGCUAGCAUCCACGACGCUAUCCAAGAUUCCACAGUACUUCCCCAAAAUUCCGGCAAGCACUCAUCAGCAGUAUCCAACAUCCGUAACCCUGAAAGUCUCCGGCACAAGGGUAGUAUUGUCCAAAACAGCAAUAAAAGCAACGAGCCAAAACACCGCCACUGGUUCCCAGUCUCCAGGACUAUACUCAGCCCAGACGUUUGAGCUGACUCCUGAAAACGUGGAUUUGGUUCUUGAGGAUGUUCGGCCGUACUUAAUUGCCGACGGCGGGAACGUUGACGUUGUUUCCGUUGAAGACGGUGUCGUUUCCCUCCAACUCCAAGGAGCAUGUGGUAGCUGCCCUAGCUCAACAACUACUAUGAAAAUGGGGAUUGAAAGAGUACUUAAGGAAAAAUUUGGGGAUGCAGUUAAAGAUAUUCGCCAAGUUUACGAUGAAGAAGUGAAGGAGACAACUCCCGAGGCUGUGAAUCGGCAUCUUGAUAUACUGAGACCGGCCAUAAAGAACUAUGGUGGGAGUGUAGAAGUAACAUCUGUUGAAAAUGGGGAAUGUCUUGUGAAAUAUACAGGUCCGGAGUCUAUUGGUUCUGGAGUCAAAGCGGCUAUUAAGGAGAAGUUUCCGGAUAUCACGAAUGUUGUGUUUGUCGACUAGGUUGAUUCAUCUCUGGCAGCUGCGACUGAUUGUAACCAGCGUGCUAAACUGAUCAGGAACGGCGUGUAGACAAAGUAGCAAGUUAAUGUCCAAGUGACUAAUCCCUGCAUAAAACAGAAAUUGUCUAUUUAUUCAGAACACUAUUGAUUCUAAGCUAUGACUGUUUUUGUUUGGUAUCAUAAUCAAUUACCUGACCGAAGAUUUCAAUGUUCGCUUGUGGAUAAUACCAAAGGUGGAAGAACCUGAAAACGGCCAAAUGUGUCAAAUGAAUAAAUAAGCAUGUCAUGUUUGAUAGCUUUGGUGGGAGCAAACUUACUUCAUAAUGGGAAUUUCAGCCAACGGGCAAACGACGCCGAUAAUGGAUGCUAAGGUGAAGCCUAGGCGUGUCCUGUCGAGGAACAACCAUAUGAAUUCUGCCGCGGCGAACAAUAUGUAAGCCUCAAUGUUGUCUGGUAUUCCAGCUUUAUACAUCUCAGCACUCAAUUCUAUGAACAACAAAAGGGUUCUGUAUCAAAGAAUAAGGAAUCUUAGAAGAGUUCCUUUCAUCCAAGAAGAGUUGCAGCAACCCAACAGAGGAAUAGAACAAUCCAAGCAAAGGAGGAACCUAUAUCCAACAGUAAAGAUACAAAAGAACAGGUCAACUGAAUCAUCUUGAAUCGAACAGUAAGUGAAUAAAAAGCAAGAAAAAGAUUUCCAUUAUACCCAUAUGUUUGUAUGAAGAGGACCGAUGUCAAUCGAGCCAUUUUGAUAUUCUACAAGAUUAACCCUUGAAUGUAGACCAUCAAUGAGAGGACCCAAGAAGAAUCCUGAGCAGAAAAGAGAAACAGAAACAAAUGGCCAAGUGUUUCUUGGACUUUCAUUGCCCUGCUCUCUUAAACUACAAUAUGGUUUCGUUAUAAAGCGUUUUGGGUUCCGAUUAGAGGGACGGAGGUUGGGAAUGAAACGGGGAAGAUGCAGGCUUAGCAUAUUCUAUUCUUAGGAUUUCCAUUGCUGAUAGUUAUUAUUUUGUUGUAUUAAUAUUGUCAUUAUAGAAAUAAAAAUAAAUUAUUAAUUGUCAUGUAUAUCGAUCAUGUGUAAUCAUAGAAUGUAUCUGAAAAAUGUGUGGUUGGUGUUGA